UCUUCUUUCUGUAUGUAGGAGCGGUUGCAGUGAUUUUGUGCAAGAUCAAGCAGCAGACGUGCAACACUGGCUUUAGACUGUCUGUCCC
ensembl:lncRNA